rnacentral:rRNA from 1 species
UGCGAACGCUGGCGGCGUGCUUAACACAUGCAAGUCGAGCGAAGGUGUUUCAAGGGUAACCUUGAGAUACACUUAGCGGCGGACGGGUGAGUAAUACGUGGAUAACUUACCUCUGGGCCUGGGGAUAACCCCGGGAACUGGGGCUAAUACCUGAUAAGACCACAUUGUCUACGGACAAAGGGGUAAAAGGUGGCUGUGCAAACAGCUAUCGCCAAAAGAUAGGUCACGUCCC